CCUACGGGAGGCAGCAGUGAGGAAUAUUGGUCAAUGGGCGCGAGCCUGAACCAGCCAAGUAGCGUGAAGGAUGACUGCCCUACGGGUUGUAAACUUCUUUUAUAAAGGAAUAAAGUGAGGCACGUGUGCCUUUUUGUCUUUACUUUAUGAAUAAGGAUCGGCUAACGCCGUGCCAGCAGCCGCGGUAAUACGGAGGGUCCGAGCGUUGUCCGGAUUUAUUGGGUUUAAAGGGAGCGUAGAGGGGUUGUUAAGUUAGUUGUGAAAUUUUGCGGCUCAACCGUAAAAUUGCAAUUGAUACUGGCAGACUUGAGUGCAGUUGAGGUAGGCGGAAUUCGUGGUGUAGCGGUGAAAUGCUUAGAUAUCACGAAGAACUCCGAUGGCGAAGGCAGCCUACUAAACUGCCACUGACACUGAUGCUCAAAAGUGUGGGUAGCAAACAGGAUUAGAUACCCCUGUAGUC
rnacentral:rRNA from 1 species